CUCAGUUAUGAUGUGGGGGUGGGGUAGGGGAACAAUUCAGGGAAUGCUGUGGAGGCUGCUAUGGGAAAAUCCUAAAGGCUGAGAUGUAUGGGGAAGGCAGAGGGAAAAGAGGGAGGGGAGGAGGCUGCCGGAGCCUGAGUGCUGCAGGCACAGUGCAGUGGUCACAGAUACAAACGAGAAGUGCUUUCUGUCAACAACUGCAGCCACCACCAACACAACAAAGAGGAGUCUUUCCUUAGAGAUGAUUCCACCUGCCUUUGACACCAGGCGUCACACAUCUGGCUCGCUGGUAUUGCAUUGAAAUGGCUUCCUGUGUGGAGUUCAGAGGGGAAAAUAAUGAAGAUGAUAGACAGACAUACAGCAUAAAUGUAUUGAGAACAAAAAAAAAUAUCUUCUGAAUGCAGCCGUCAGCGAGCCAUUGAAUGUCCUGUAGCAAAGCUUUGGCAAUCCUGGAUCACUGUUUCUGCAUGGCUUCCCCAUCGCAUAGGGAAAAUCUCCCCUUUGCCACAGACUCCACCAGGCCUGCCUUGUUGUUUGCUUCAUCCUCUAUUUUUCCCCAUUUGCUCUUUGGAUAUAAUAUGGCUCCCAGAAUGAUUUUGCAAUGCUCCUCAAUGGAUUGCAGACAGGAAAAAAGAGCAUAUUCAACUUUAUGCGGACAUUAAAAAUACAGCCUGCUUUUUCUUGUUGAAUGUUAUUCAGAAUUAUUUUUAACUGACUUGAUUUUUCUUAAUUUGACCUGCUACAUUUCUGAACAAGAAUCUGCAAACCAAAUAAAAAAUGAAGAACUGAGCUGUGUCUACUAUUU
rnacentral:lncRNA from 1 species